rnacentral:rRNA from 1 species
GACGAACGCUGGCGGCGUGCUUAACACAUGCAAGUCGAACGGUGAAGCACCUUCCUUUUGGUGGGUGUGGAUGAGUGGCGAACGGGUGAGUAACACGUGAGUAACCUGCCCCCUUCUUCUGGAUAACCGCAUGAAAGUGUGGCUAAUACGGGAUAUUCUGUGCCUGCUGCAUGGUGGGUGUGGGAAAGAUGCGCUUUUGGGUGUUUUUGGUGGGGGAUGGGCUCGCGGCCUAUCAGCUUGUUGGUGGGGUGAUGGCCUACCAAGGCGGUGACGGGUAGCCGGCCUGAGAGGGUGGACGGUCACACUGGGACUGAGACACGGCCCAGACUCGUACGCGAGGCAGCAGUAGGGAAUAUUGCACAAUGGGCGCAAGCCUGAUGCAGCGACGCCGCGUGAGGGAGUGUGGCCUUCGGGUUGUAAACCUCUUUCGCCAGUGAAGCAGGCCUGUCCCUUGUGGGUGGGUUGACGGUAGCUGGAUAAGAAGCGCCGGCUAACUACGUG